rnacentral:tRNA from 1 species
GCCUCAUGGUGUAAUGGUAGCACGGCAGACUUCGGGUCUGUUUGACACGGUUCGAGUCCGUGUGAGGCG